rnacentral:rRNA from 1 species
CAGUAGCCGCGGUAAUCCGUAGGUGGCAAGCGUUGUCCGGAAUUAUUGGGCGUAAAGGGCUCGCAGGCGGUUUCUUAAGUCUGAUGUGAAAGCCCCCGGCUCAACCGGGGGGGUCAUUGGAAACUGGGAAACUUGAGUGCAGAAGGGGAGAGUGGAAUUCCACGUGUAGCGGUGAAAUGCGUAGAGAUGUGGAGGAACACCAGUGGCGAAGACGACUCUCUGGUCUGUAACUGACGCUGAGGAGCGAAAGCGUGGGGAGCGAACAGGAUUAGAUACCCCGGUAGUCCCUGUCUCUUAUACA